rnacentral:misc_RNA from 1 species
GCACAACGGGAUGAAGCGCGCUGGGAGUUGGUUAUGAAGAAGCUGAGUUGUCUGGUCCAGAAGAUGGAGUCGUUGGUGGGGGGUCAGGCAGAUCUAGCAGCAGCGGUGGCGCAGCAAGCGGCGGAGGAUCUGCCCGUUCUGCCUCAGUUCGUUCGAUCUGCGGGCAAUACCACGACGCCAGUCUUUGACGAGGGACCUGUCUUCGACGACGAGCUGCCCAUCGACUUCGGUUCCCAGGGGAAGACCGCGUCCAUGGCGGCAGCAAGCGCCAUGGAGGUCCCCGGAUCCACCCCGACGCCCUCCGUCCCCUUCUACGACAGCGUCGACAUCUUCCACCUCAAUAGUGAACCCGUCUACGACGUCUACGAUGACGACGAGGAUGGCGAUUCGUCGCAGCAGGCCGUGGUGCUCGCUGCGGACAAGAACUACUACCCCACCGCUGAAGAGAUGUACGGGCCGGGCAUGGAGGC